CUAGAAAUACCUGCUGGGCCUAAUGAGGUAGGCUUGGAGUGAUAGGGGUGUCCCAUUCCCAUCUUUUCAGAGGGAAGUAAGAGAGCGUGGUGUUAGGUAGCAGAGGGCAUGGACUCAGUGAACGUGUAUUCAACAGAAAAGGAAGACUGUGCAACCAAGGACAACAUAAGAUUAGCUCUACUUUGUAGCAUCUGCCUCAGGGUGAGAUGAAUUAUGCCCCUGAAAUUCCCAUUUCUCACUGUAGUAGGGAUAA